rnacentral:tRNA from 1 species
GCGGCUUUGGUGUAACCUGGUUAGCAUAAAAGACUGUGGAUCUUUUGGUCCGGGUUCAAAUCCCGGGAGCCGCC